rnacentral:rRNA from 1 species
GACGAACGCUGGCGGCGUGCUUAACACAUGCAAGUCGAACGGAAAGGCCCUGCUUGCAGGGUCCUCGAGUGGCGAACGGGUGAGUAACACGUGGGUGAUCUGCCCUGCACUUCGGGAGAAGCCUGGGAAACUGGGUCUAAUACCGGAUAGGAGCCAUUUUUAGUGUGAUGGUUGGAAAGUUUUUUCGGUGUAGGAUGAGCUUGCGGCCUAUCAGCUUGUUGGUGGGGUAAUGGCCUACCAAGGCGGCGACGGGUAGCCGGACUGAGAGAGUGGACGGCCACAUUGGGACUGAGAGACGGCCCAGGCUCGUACGGGAGGCAGCAGGGGGGAAGAUUGAACGAUGGGCGCAAGCCUGAUGAUGAGGGGCCGCGUGGGGGAUGACGGCCUUCGGGUUGUAAACUCCUUUCGCUAGGGACGAAGCUUUUUGUGACGGUACCUAGAUAAGAAGCACCGGCUAACUACGUG